rnacentral:rRNA from 1 species
GACGAACGCUGGCGGCGUGCCUAAUACAUGCAAGUAGAACGCUGAAGGAGGAGCUUGCUCUUCUGGAUGAGUUGCGAAAGGGUGAGUAACGCGUAGGUAACCUGCCGGGUAGCGGGGGAUAACGAUUGGAAACGAUAGCUAAUACCGCAUAAGAAUAGAUGUUGCAUGACAUGUACUUAAAAGGUGCAAUUGCAUCACUACCAGAUGGACCUGCGUUGUAUUAGCUAGUUGGUGGGGUAACGGCUUACCAAGGCGACGAUACAUAGCCGACCUGAGAGGGGGAUAGGCCACAGUGGGAGUGGGACACGGCCCAGAUUGCUACGGGAGGCCGCAGUAGGGAACUUUGGGAGAUGGACGGAAGGCUGACCGAGCAAUGCGGGGUGAGUGGACAAGGUUUCGGCGUGGGAAAGCACUGUUGUAAGAGAAGAAAGAGUGUUAGCGUGGAAAGUGCAGACAGUGACGGUAUCUUAGCAGAAAGCGACGGCUAACUACGUG